rnacentral:rRNA from 1 species
GUGGUUUAAUUCGAAGCAACGCGAAGAACCUUACCUAAGCUUGACAUCCCAAUGACAUCUCCUUAAUCGGAGAGUUCCCUUCGGGGACAUUGGUGACAGGUGGUGCAUGGUUGUCGUCAGCUCGUGUCGUGAGAUGUUGGGUUAAGUCCCGCAACGAACGCAACCCUUGUCUUUAGUUGCCAUCAUUAAGUUGGGCACUCUAGAGAGACUGCCAGGGAUCACCUGGAGGAAGGUGGGGAUGACGUCAAAUCAUCAUGCCCCUUAUGCUUAGGGCUACACACGUGCUACAAUGGGUAGUACAGAGGGUUGCCAAGCCGUAAGGUGGAGCUAAUCCCUUAAAGCUACUCUCAGUUCGGAUUGUAGGCUGAAACUCGCCUACAUGAAGCUGGAGUUACUAGUAAUCGCAGAUCAGAAUGCUGCGGUGAAUGCGUUCCCGGGUCUUGUACACACCGCCCGUCACACCACGGGAGUUGGAGACGCCCGAAGCCGAUUAUCUAACCUUUUGGAAGAAGUCGUCGAAGGUGGAAUCAAUAACUGGGGUGAAGUCGUAACAAGGUAGCCGUAUCGGAAGGUGCGGCUGGAUCACCUCCUUUCUAAGGA